rnacentral:rRNA from 1 species
AACGAACGCUGGCGGCAUGCCUAACACAUGCAAGUCGAACGAGACCUUCGGGUCUAGUGGCGCACGGGUGCGUAACGCGUGGGAACCUGCCCUUAGGUUCGGAAUAACUCCCCGAAAGGGGUGCUAAUACCGGAUAAUGUCUUCGGACCAAAGAUUUAUCGCCUUUGGAUGGGCCCGCGUUGGAUUAGCUAGUUGGUAGGGUAAAAGCCUACCAAGGCGACGAUCCAUAGCUGGUCUGAGAGGAUGAUCAGCCACACUGGGACUGAGACACGGCCCAGACUCCUACGGGAGGAAGCAGUGGGGAAUAUUGGACAAUGGGCGAAAGCCUGAUCCAGCAAUGCCGCGUGAGUGAUGAAGGCCUUAGGGUUGUAAAGCUCUUUUACCCGGGAUGAUAAUGACAGUACCGGGAGAAUAAGCCCCGGCUAACUCCGUG